GAUUGUUGGUUGAACUAACACUUUACAUUCCUUCAUGAGUGAGGGUCAAUUUCACCUGCACGAAUCAUCAAUUCACGGUUUUGUACAAAAGGUCUAAUAGAAAUGUGUAAAACUAUGCUUGACAGUUUAUCACAAAUAGUUCAACAAUUUUGCAUGUAAUGGCUUAUGCAAGGAACUAAUGCCUAGAUGUUUUGAGGGGUAAGACUAUUCAAUAGAGAACCAUCUACUAUAUUUUGAUCAACAUGACAUGAGCAAUUGAUAAUGUGGAAAAAAGCUGACACUUGUACAUUAUCAAAUGCAAUUUGUUCAGAGGAAUAAGAAAUUGCUUUAAUGAUGUGCACAAGUGACUAGAUGAUUUGGAAUUUGUACAAGUAGUAUCAAGAAUUGCACUUUUGAUCUAAGAAAUGCACCAAAGCGACUGAGAAAAACUGUUAUCACUGUAUGU